CCGCUGGAAUUAAGCAUAUUAUUAAGCGGAGGAAAAGAAACUAACCAGGAUUCCCCUAGUAAGGGCGACUGAAGCGGGAAGAGCCCACCAUUUGAAUCUAUAUCCACGUUGGUGCGGAUAUCGAGUUGUAGUAGGCCAACCUUGACUGUAAGCUCCGCGCCAAGUCCCUUGGAAAAGGGCAGCUUAGAGGGUGAGACUCCCGUGUGCGUGGUACCUUGAAUGUCGAGUGGCCUAGGUGAGUCGAGUUGCUUGGGAGUGCAGCUCAAAGUGGGUGGUAAAUUCCAUCUAAGGCUAAAUAUCGGUGGGAGACCGAUAGCGUACAAGUACCGUGAGGGAAAGAUGCAAAGAACUUUGAAAAGAGAGUUAAAGAGUACCUGAAAUUGCUGAAAGGGAAGCGAAGGAAACCAGUGCGGUGCAUGGUCAUAUUUCCUGUGUCUUUUGGCAUAGGCGCUGUGUCCUUGCGUGCGCCAACGUUGGUUCGGCUGGGUUGAAUUGCCGUUGCAGGAGGCAGCCCUUGGGUGAUUACUGUGGCGUGCUGAACUGAGCUGGACUGAGUGUUGUCGAAAUGGUUUUCUUUACCCCGUCUUGAAACCGGUCCAAGG
rnacentral:rRNA from 1 species